rnacentral:ncRNA from 1 species
AACCACAAAAUUGGAGUGCAAUAUCCCCAUUAUUGACUAGCUCGCGUAUGAAAUGAAACCGAGUGUCAAUGUGUUUACUUUUCUUGUGGAACACAUGGUUCUUGGAUAGUGCAAUUGCUGAUGUGUUGUCACAGAAGAUAGGAGUUGGAUCCUUCUCUUUUUGUGACAUGUCUUUCAAUAAUCUUCUGAGCCAUACAGCUUGACUGAAGUGGUGAAAGGUUCCAUGUGAACAACACUUGGACAUGGGUUAGUCGAUCCUAAGAGAUGGGGAAGCCCUGUAUCAAGGGUGCACUAUGGACGAACAUCGAAAGGGAAUCGGGUUAAUAUUCUCGAACCGGGACAUGGCGGCGGACGACAACGUUAGGAAAUCCGGAGAUGUCGUCGGGGGCCCCAGGAAGAGUUAUCUUUUCUUUUUAACAGCUUGCCCACCCUGAAAUCGGCUCAACCGGAGAUAGGGUCCGAGAAGAGCAUUGUACGUCUUGCGGUGUCCGGUGCGCCCUCGGCUACCAUUGAAAAUCUCAAGGACCGAGUACCGUCCAUGCCCGGUCGUACUCAUAACCGCAUCAAAUCUGCAAGGUGAACAACCUCUGGUCAAUAGAACAAUGUAGGUAGGGGAAGUCGGCAAAAUGGAUCCGUAACUUCGGGAAAAGGAUUAGCUCUGAGGGCUGGGCCUAGGGGUCUGCGUCCUCAACCCGUGGGUUGUCGGCAGUCUGCCCGAGCUGCUAUCGCGGCGAGGGCGGGCAGUCGCGUGUCGAUUGGGCUACGGACGUAGAAUGUCCUCUCGCGGGGGCUUUUCCCUAGGUGGCGAACAGUCGACUCAGAACUGGUACGGACAAGGGGAAUCCGAGUGUUUAAUUAAAAAAAAGCAUUGCGAUGGUCCCUGCGGAUGCUGACGCAAUGUGAUUUCUACCCAGUGCUCUGAUACCAUGAUAAAUUGUGAGGCUAAGAGAGAAUACAGAGAGAAGAGAACUUAGAACUUCAUUACAAUGUAAGAUGGUUGAGCGAUAUAUGCUCAAGCAAGACAAAAAUAGAAAGUACAAUUGUCGAGUACAGCUGGCAGUGUACGGUCAUACUGUUGAGGGUACAAUAUAUUUAACACAAUCAACCCACUUCGAUUCACGUCAACAACAUUCCUCUUCUCAACACUCAAGCACAUAAUUGUAAGUUGGUUCAUGCCCUUUGUGGUUAUGAUUCCAAUUUGAGGGAAAAAGAACAAAGUUUUACAAAGUUAAAGUUGUAAAAUAGAGUACACCAAGAAAAUAAAGGAGUUAUACUCAUGAGCUUCUUCUUUUAGAUUUUUUUUGCAUUCACCAUUCAUAUAGAAAAUAGAUAUAUAUACACAAGGAGGAAAGAGUUGGAUUUAUCUAAAGAACUUGUGACAAAAGUUAUGGAGAUAUGUCUCUAGAACAAGAUCUAUAAUUCAGAUAUGUCAACAACAUUUAUUGUUGAGAAAUAUUUUGGAGUAGUUAUUACAUUUCAACAACUAAACU